rnacentral:rRNA from 1 species
UUGGAGGGCAAGUCUGGUGCCAGCAGCCGCGGUAAUUCCAGCUCCAAUAGCGUAUAUUAAAGUUGUUGCAGUUAAAAAGCUCGUAGUUGAAUUUCGGGAUCAGAUUGUCGGUCGUGCCUCGGUACGCACUGGUAUUAUUGGUUCCUACCUUCUGAAGAACCGCGAUGUCAUUAAUUUGGUGUCGUGGGGAAUCAGGACUGUUACUUUGAAAAAAUUAGAGUGUUCAAAGCAGGCUUACGCUUGAAUACAUUAGCAUGGAAUAAUGAAAUAGGACGUUUGAUUCUAUUUUGUUGGUUUCUAGGAUUGACGUAAUGAUUAAUAGGGAUAGUUGGGGGCAUUAGUAUUCAAUUGUCAGAGGUGAAAUUCUUGGAUUUAUUGAAGACUAACUACUGCGAAAGCAUUUGCCAUGGAUGUUUUCAUUAAUCAAGAACGAAAGUUAGGGGAUCGUAGACGAUCAGAUACCGUCGUAGUCUUAACCAUAAACUAUGCCGACUAGGGAUCGGAUGAUGUUAAUUUUUUAAUGACUCAUUCGGCGCCUUACGGGAAACCAAAGUGUUUGGGUUC